GGUCUUGGCUCAACCCGC
rnacentral:siRNA from 1 species